UGCGUAGGUGGUUUUGUAAGCGUGGGGUGAAAGGCAAUAGCUCAACUAUUGUAAGCCCUGCGAACUGUGAGACUUGAGUGCAGGAGAGGAAAGCGGAAUUCCUAGUGUAGCGGUGAAAUGCGUAGAUAUUAGGAGGAACACCAGUGGCGAAGGCGGCUUUCUGGACUGUAACUGACACUGAGGCACGAAAGCGUGGGGGAGCAAACAG
rnacentral:rRNA from 1 species